UAUAAGAUAUGCAUAUAAAAUUACUUAUAGGUAAAAUUAUGAUUUAAAAAGCCACAUCAACAAUUAACAUGAAAGCUACAGAAUCAUUAUAAAAUGAAUGUAGUUAGCCAUGUUGAAAUUCUUUCCAGGAAAUGAUUCAAGCAAAUGAUGGGAACCCCUGAAAUUUCAUCAAGAAAGCAGCCUGGAGCUACUUAGUGAGGAGGAAAAAGUCUUUGAUCUCAUACAGCUCACAUUCAAAGAAGAGAAAAAUAAAUGAUGAACAAGUGAAAAAAAUCUUCAGAAGAGACAACUGCUCUAAACAAACGUAC